rnacentral:tRNA from 1 species
GCGGGGGUAGCUCAGUGGUAGAGCGUCUGCUUCCCAAGCAGGAUGUCGCGGGUUCGAUCCCCGUCCCCCGCUCCA